rnacentral:rRNA from 1 species
UGGGGAAUCUUGGACAAUGGGGGAAACCCUGAUCCAGCCAUGCCGCGUGAGCGAUGACGGCCUUAGGGUUGUAAAGCUCUUUCACCGGUGACGAUAAUGACGGUAGCCGGAGAAGAAGCCCCGGCUAACUCCGUGCCAGCAGCCGCGGUAAUACGGAGGGUGCAAGCGUUGUCCGGAUUUAUUGGGUUUAAAGGGUGCGUAGGCGGUUUAUUAAGUCAGUGGUGAAAGCCCACAGCUCAACUGUGGAAUUGCCAAUGAAACUGGUAGACUUGAGUACAGUCGAGGUAGGCGGAAUUUAUGGUGUAGCGGUGAAAUGCAUAGAUACCAUAAAGAACCCCGAUAGCGAAGGCAGCUUACUAGAGUGUAACUGACGCUGAGGCACGAAAGCGUGGGGAGCGAACAGGAUUAGAUACCCCGGUAGUCC